rnacentral:rRNA from 1 species
AACGAACGCUGGCGGCAGGCUUAACACAUGCAAGUCGAACGCCCGUAGCAAUACGGGAGUGGCAGACGGGUGAGUAACGCGUGGGAAUCUUCCCAAAGGUACGGAACAACUCAGGGAAAC